UACGAAGGGGGCUAGCGUUGCUCGGAAUUACUGGGCGUAAAGCGCACGUAGGCGGCUUUCUAAGUCGGGGUGAAAUCCUGGAGCUCAACUCCAGAACUGCCUUCGAUACUGGAGAGCUCGAGUCCGGGAGAGGUGAGUGGAACUGCGAGUGUAGAGGUGAAAUUCGUAGAUAUUCGCAAGAACACCAGUGGCGAAGGCGGCUCACUGGCCCGGUACUGACGCCUUGAGGUGCG
rnacentral:rRNA from 1 species